rnacentral:lncRNA from 1 species
UUGAAAUGUUCUACUCCUUUUCAAUAUAACAUUGUUUUUUGAGUUUGUAUUUGUAAUGUGACCACACUUGAAUGUUGAUUAGGUCACUGAAUGAAAAGACAAAAAUACUUAGUGACUUCUAAAUUUUAUUAUAAUUUUNUGUAUUUGUAAUGUGACCACACUUGAAUGUUGAUUAGGUCACUGAAUGAAGAGACAAAAAUACUUAGUGACUUCUAAAUUUUAUUAUAAUUUUUAAUUUUUAAUUUUUAUAAUUUUAAAAGUGAAAUUGUUAGACCGCACAAACCGCAUAAACCACACCGCACCGCACCGCAU